rfam:Aspergillus carbonarius ITEM 5010 unplaced genomic scaffold ASPCAscaffold_5, whole genome shotgun sequence.
GGGGCAAUGGCGCAUCUGGGAGCGCGUCAGACUGAAGCUCUAACUUCGGCCAUAGGCUUCAUCCUUCCGAGGAUGUCCCUGUUAAUCUGAAGGUGGCCGGUUCAAGCCCGGCUUGCCCCA